rnacentral:rRNA from 1 species
UACGUAGGGUGCGAGCGUUAAUCGGAAUUACUGGGCGUAAAGCGCACGUAGGCGGCUUUGCAAGUUUAGAGGUGAAAGCCCGGGGCUCAACUCCGGAAUUGCCUUUAAAACUGCAUCGCUAGAGUUGUGGAGAGGUAAGUGGAAUUCCGAGUGUAGAGGUGAAAUUCGUAGAUAUUCGGAAGAACACCAGUGGCGAAGGCGACUUACUGGACACAUACUGACGCUGAGGUGCGAAAGCGUGGGGAGCAAACAGG